rnacentral:sRNA from 1 species
CUGCUUUUGGUUGUAUUAGCAAGGAAUGGUAGGAAGUGGGGAUGAGAGAUUAAUCAUGGUUUUGAGGUUGCUUUUGGUUAUUCUGUAUAUCAUUCUUACGUGCUUCUGAGAUGUCCUCACGUUUAUAAAUAUGUGUAUCAUAUAAAUGUUUGUUUCAUGUUUUAUGAAAUGUGGUGUGUAUUUGUGAUAUGCUAAUAUUUUUAAUUUAGAAUAAAUCACUCCAACAAUGCAAUAGUAAAACCCCCUGAGAUGACACCUCAGGCUGCAGCUAAGGAGUUAGAAGAAGUAAUGAAGCGAGUACGAGAAGCUCAGUCAUUUAUCUCAGCAGCUAUUGAACCAGGUAAGUCCAUAACGUUGUUACAUAGGUCAUAGUUUAAAGAUCAUAGAAUCUUAGAACUGGAAGGAAUUUUAGAAAUCAUCUUGUUCAGUCACUUCAUUUUACAAACAAGAAGACUGAAACUCAAGAAAUAGUAAGUAGCAUACUCAUGUCAAAGAACAACUUAGCCCAUGUUUUAUCUUUUUCUGUGAUACUGAAUUGAGGCGCUUUAGUCUGAACUAAUCAGCUCUGUAUUUUCAUAGCAAAAUCAGUGCUCAAAAGUGAUUUGCUGAAAGCAAAAAUGUUAUUGCAAGGCUAAAAAGAGUAAAUAUAUUUAAAAUGUUCUGACUCAGCAGGUUUACUUUUCCUCAACAUUUUAAUUUUAGAAAUAGAGAAGAGAGCCCGUGAUUUAGAAAAAAAUACAGAUACUGUAUUUUAGUAAGGUAAAGGAACAUCUAUUCAAACUUUUGUGUUGCUAAUGAAAAUAAUUUAAAAACCCAUUCUAAAAACAUCUAGGUGGUUUACAUUUGAGCAGAUUUUCUAAAUCAACACUUAGAAUUUAAGCUUCAAUUCUAGCAGAAUAAGUGGAGAAAGGACUUAAAAUCACUGUCACAGGAAUUACAGACAUGUUAUAAUCGUACGUUACGGCAGCAACAAAAUAUUACGAACAGCUGUUUAUAAUCAUCUGGUUUAUAUGUACUGCUGCAGGGUGGCUGCACUCAACGAGUUUAUGCAAUGACUUUCUUGGAUGUUUCUGAAGGAGGAGGAUGUACAGAGAGUAGGCCCCUUGCACUAUAUGUGGUACAUUCCACUUGUGCCUGAUUAUUAACUGGGAUCUUUAAUUGUUCUGAGCUUACACUGCAAAGUGAUUUUUUCCUCCCAGAGUCUGGAAAGAGCAAUGAAAGAAAAGGCGGUCGAUCUCGUUCCCAUACUCGCUCAAAAUCCAGGUCUAGCUCAAAAUCCCAUUCUAGAAGGAAAAGAUCACAAUCAAAACACAGGUGAGAAUUUCUGCUGUCAUAUUUACAUUUUAUUUUAGUUUUGUAUUUAAAAUAUUAAGAUUUUAUGAGUUUUCGUCAAAAUAUCAGAAGUUAGAAAUUUUAGUAGUGUGCACCUGAAGUGUGGUUACCAUUAAAUAUUGUUCUAAUUGUAAUACUGUAGUUGAGAAUGAAAUUUUGUUUAAUGAUACUUAAUUUUUAAAUAUUUGAACAUCUUUAUUUUUAGAAGUUAGUUUUGUAUCUAAAGAUACUCUAUUCCAGAUUUUUCUAAGAGUAAACUAGUCUUUAUAUAGAAGUGACAAAAGCUGUUUUCAUUCUUCAUAUUGAGAAAAGGGAACAUACUUAGUGACCAUGCUGAAAAUAAUUGCUCAAGUUGCAGCUUUUUUGUUUUGUUGUCCCAGUCUAUUCCAAGUUUGGGGAGCACCACCCCAGAUCUUUCACACAAUUCCCUAUUUUCAGUACCACGUAUCCAAAGGAACACUUUGAGUCCUUGGUAUUGCUGGUGAUAAGAGCAGCCUCUGCCCAAUUUUGGACCUGAAACACAGGAAUAACUUGCAGUUUCAGCUUCAGUUGUAGUACUUUGCUUAAGCUCUGUUUAUCUUAUUUUUGAUCGUAGCUUUGUCCUUUUGAUUUUCUUAAUCUGUCAUUUCUUUGUCUUUGGUAUAAAGGGGACCUUAAAAUGCAAACUUGGCAAUACCAUCCUAAUUGGAAGUACCCUAAAGAUCAUUACUAAAGUUGCAAAUUUUGUUGUCUUUUUUAAGGUACGGAGGGGGUGUUGUUGAAAUGUGAAAGUAUGUAUAGUGGAUCCUAAUUGCAUGUUAUGUGUACAUAGUACUCAUACAUAUGUCUUGAGAGAGCAGGGAGGGAAGAGUGUAUCUGUGUAUGUUGGGAUUUUAAAGAAGGAGAAAGGAUUUAGGGGAGGGAAAAGGAACCAGUUUGUUGUACGUUGUUUUACCAGCAGGCUCAGUUUACUUUGUUUUUGUGUGUGUGUGUGUUGAUCAAGGAGAUUCAAAUAAUGAGGAAAAAUAGGAUGUUCUUUCUUAGAUUCUAGUAAACAAGUAUACACCAGAUAUACUAGUGUAUACUUGUCUAUUCUUAGUUAGCAAAAUCUCCUUUGGAAUACGGUUUUACUGCCUUUAUCCAAGGACUUACAGUAAGACACUUUCAGAACCAAGUGAAGGAGGUUGUUUCAUAUACAAGAAUAAGGCAGUGCAGCAGAGGCCAGAAUCAGGAAAGGAUAGUGGAACAGAAGCUGCAGUGGUACUAGAUAGACUGUGGAUAUUUCCAUAUGUUGACAGGAUGUGGUGAGGGUAAAGGAGAUCACGGAAAUAAUAGAACUGGGCUGAAGAGUAAUAUUACAACUUCUUUUCUGAGGAAGACUGAUGACCUGAAUCUCGUAUUGUGUUGAUUGUAAGAGAGAGCUAAUGUCCAAGACUGGAACAAGCCAAAACUUGAUGAUGAAUAAAAUUGUUGUUUCUUUGAUGAUCUAAGUGAAGUUUUAUGUGCUUUAUGUAGAUAUGUCUAUACAAAUGUACACAAAAUGUCUGCGUAGCAUUAGAAAUAAUGUAUAUAUAUUCUUUUUUUUUUUUUCCCCCCAAGAUGCAGUUUCAGUCUGUUGCCCAGGCUGGAGUGCAGUAGCUUGAUCUCUGCUCACUGCAACCUCCACCUCCCAGGCACAAGUGAUCCUCCCACCUCAGCUUCUUGAGUAGCUGAGCCACAGACACGCACCACCACGCCUGGCUAAUUUUGUAUUUUUUGUAGAAACGGGGUUUUAUCAUACUGCCUAGGUUGGUGUUGAACUCCUGAGCUCAAGCGAUCCUCCCGCCUUGGCCUCCAAAAGUGCUGGGAUUACAGGCGUGGUAUACAUGUUCUUAACUGGCAUGUAUACAUACAUACAUAUUUUUGUCAGCAUAUUCUGUUUUUGUGCAUGCAUGUGGAAACAUGUUGCCUUAAGUUCAUGAACAAAUACAAAAGAGAGAAUGAGUUAUCUUUAAAUGAGAAAAAAAAAAAUUCCUUACCUAAAAACAUUUAACUUAAAGAUUCUGACCUGGAAGGAUCCCACUAUCCCCCAGAAAUCAGGAAGGGGAUGACAGGCCUUUGUUGACAUUUCCUCCUCUGCUAGUGGGAGUUGAUGUCCUUGAAUCUCACCCUGACCUAUUAGACUUAGCACGAGCGUGGGUUGCAGGAACCCUUAAAGGCCCACCUUCUACUUUUUUACCAUUUUCAAAUGCUUCUAGAGCCAUGCUUCCUACCUCCCAACCCUCCCCCACAGUCUUUCCCUGUUCCUUCCCCUUUUGGUUAGAGAGAGGAAGGGGUUUCUUGUCACUGUGACCUUGGCUAGGACUAGGGAGGUAUGUUUCUGUUUUGUCCAAGUUUUGAUGCCUGUUUUAUUUAUUGAGACAUAGAAAAGAUGGAUAGUACUAUAGUUGUUAUAAUUUUAAGUAACCUUUAUAGAUUAGCACAGGAACUAUAAGACAUUUUAUAAUAUUUUAAUGGAAAACAACUGAUUUACAAAUGAACUUUGAUGCAGCAUAAUGGUAAGUUGCUGUUUUUUUACAGUUUAAUUUAAAAAUAAGAUUUUGCAUUAUUCAGAAUAAUACAAUUUCUCAUUAAAAAUGAGAGCUAAUGAUAAAUCUUUAGUUAGAUUAGAUCUGCUCUUGACUACUAUUUAGCAUUCUUAAUCAGAAAACUACUAGUGGGUAAGAUUGACAUGAAAAUAUUUAACGUCACAGUUAAAAUGUAAUAAUUACUCUUAGUCACUGUCUUUUGACAUCUCAGUUGCAGGGUAAGGUUGGAAGCCAAGUGAUCAGUGCUUUUUAUUAUUAACUUAUUUAUGAGAGUUAUACUUAAUUUUUAAAAAUAAGUUUUGCUUAAGGUCGGAAAGCAUUGCUUUGAGGAAAACAAAAGAAUUAUAUUUUUAGCAAGGACAACUUAAAACAGAAAUUUUAUAGUAAGAAUUUUUAUUAAGUAUAUAGGAACAAAGGCACUUUAAAAGAUUACCCUAUGUGGACAUCUGUAAAUGGACUUACAAUGUUCUCAGUUUUGCAGUUUUGCCUUAACAUCUACUCCUUAACUUUCAUGGCUCUUAAGUACUAGUGAUAAAGAUUUCAGCAAGCUAUGAAUUAUCUUCUUGUAUUAAAAACAUGGUAUAUGAUUUCUUAUCUAGGGUCUUUGGAAAAAAUUAAAAAAUAAUGUGGUAUGUUGAACCAAGUGAGGCUAAAAAAAUAUAUAUGGAAUGAAGACAAUUGUAUAUUAUUUUUAAAGCCAAAUAGUUAGAUGAGUAGUUUAAAUGGAAAUUAGCUAUUGAAAUUUUGAUUUGUAAUGUUGAUUAGUAUUUUAAUCAGCAUUUUGACUAACUGAAAAAUGUGUUUAAAAACAAAAAAUUUUGUUAUUAAUGAGGAUUAUUUGGAGGUUUUUCUGGUUUCAAGGCAUACCACAAAGCAUGGUCUUUUUCUUUUUUCUUUUAUUUUUUUGAGAUGGAAUCUCGCUCUGUUGCCCAGGCUGGAGUGCAGUGGUGCGAUCUCGGCUCUUUGCAACCUCUGCCCCCUGGGUUCAAUUGAUUCUCCCACCUCAGCUUCCUGAGUAAUUGGGACUACAGGUGCAUGCCACCAUACCCAGCUAAUUUUUGUAUUUUUAGUAGAGACAGGUUUCACUAUGUUUGGCAAGGCUGAUCUUGAAAUCGUGACCUCAAGUGAUCCACCUGCCUUGGCCUCCCAAAGUGCUGGGAUUACAGGUGUGAGCCACUGUGCCCGGCCCAACUAUAUUUCUUUUACUGAUAAUUGUUCUAAAUUUAUUAAAACAUGACUAUCAAGAUGAGUUUUAGCUGUAUAAAGGAUACUUAUAGAAGUUAAUUCAGCUUCCUUGGAAUACGUACAUAAAGUUAUAAAGUUUACAUUUAUGUUAACUUUUAAUGAUAAUGACAUUGAGAGUUAAGAGUUUUAAACAUUUACUUUGUGCUAGAGAAUACUACGCAGUUGUACAUACAUCAUCAGUUGUAAUCCUCAUGACAGCCCUAAGAGAUGCAGGUAUGAUUCCUACUCCACUUUAUAGAGGAAGAAACUCAGGCUUGGAGAGGUUAAGUGACUAGCCAGAGUUCUCACAGGUAGUUUGUGGCAGAGCUGACUUUCAGAGCCAGAUUGUCAGACUCCAAAGCUGUUGAGUCUAAUCACUUUGCUAUUUAAGUUGUGUACAUCUGUUUUGUUACAAUUUAUUAAGUAGUUAGGAUACCUCGUUAUGAAAAAGAAUCACAUUCUCAAAAAACUUUUUCAGUGAGAACGGGGGCCUAGUCCAAAUUGGAAUAACAGUUACUCUUCCUGCAAUUAAACGUUUCCUGCAGUUAAAAGUUUCUUUUCAUACAGGUUGAGACUCACAAAUUUGAAAAUCUGAAAUCCAAAAGGCUUCAAAAUUUUUUGAACGCUUUCGUGAUGCUCGAAGGAAAUGCUCACUGGAGCAUUUUGGAUUUUUCAGUUGUGUGUUUGGGAUGCUCAACCAGUUUUAUACGUGUGUAUAUAUAGAAUGCAAAUAUUCCAAAAUCUCCAAAAAUGUGAAAUUCAAAACACUUUUGGUUCCAAGCAUUUCACAUGAGGGAUACUCAACUGGUAGCUAUGAUUAUAGUUACAGCUAUAAAAUCGAGGCAUUGCAAAUCCAAUAUUUGAUUAUAUCUAGUUUUAACUUAUAAGUAAUGAUUUUUAUUUUCCUGUCACAGUAGCGCUGUCAUUAGGACUGUGCUUCCUUUUAUGUAUACUUUUUGUUUGUUAUGACAGCACACAUUCACAGGAACUACUCAACCAUGUAACCACUACUCCCUAUCAUGAUGUGUUAUGACCAGAUUACAUGCAAGUCAGCAGGGAAAAAUCUUCUAUACUGAUUUGAGGCAUAAAAUGACUAGCAAAAGUCACAUCUGAAAAUAUACGAAAUAACUGUUAAAUUCUUUGUUUCUGUCUCUGUUCUAGGCAAUGAAAUAUCCAGUAAAGUUUCCAAUAAAUGUAUUUCAGAUUAUGUAACUAAAGUAUUAUUUAAGAGAAAAUUUUAAAAUAUUGUUAAAUACUGUUAGGACAGAUUUUAAAUUUUCUUGUUUGACAGAUCGUAAAUUCUUAAAAGUUGAAAUUCUAAGAAUAAGUUUUGAUAUUCUAACAAUUUGUUUUUCUUUAGGAGUAGAUCCCAUAAUAGAUCACGUUCAAGACAGAAAGACAGACGUAGAUCUAAGAGCCCACAUAAAAAACGCUCUAAAUCAAGGGAGAGACGGAAGUCAAGGAGUCGUUCGCGUUCACGGGACAAGAGAAAAGACACUCGAGAAAAGAUCAAGGAAAAGGAAAGAGUGAAAGAGAAAGACAGGGAAAAGGAGAGAGAGAGGGAAAAGGAACGUGAAAAAGAAAAGGAACGGGGUAAAAACAAAGAUAAAGACCGGGACAAGGAACGGGAAAAGGACCGGGAAAAAGACAAGGAAAAGGACAGAGAGAGAGAACGGGAAAAAGAGCAUGAAAAGGAUCGAGACAAAGAGAAGGAAAAGGAACAGGACAAAGAAAAGGAACGAGAAAAAGACAGAUCCAAAGAGAUAGACGAAAAAAGAAAGAAGGAUAAAAAAUCCAGAACACCACCCAGGAGUUACAAUGCAUCGCGAAGAUCUCGUAGUUCCAGCAGGGAAAGGCGUAGGAGGAGGAGCAGGAGUUCUUCCAGAUCGCCAAGAACAUCAAAAACCAUAAAAAGGAAAUCUUCUAGAUCUCCGUCCCCCAGGAGCAGAAAUAAGAAGGAUAAAAAGAGAGAAAAAGAAAGGGACCACAUCAGUGAAAGAAGAGAGAGAGAACGUUCAACGUCUAUGAGAAAGAGUUCUAAUGAUAGAGAUGGGAAGGAGAAGUUGGAGAAGAACAGUACUUCACUUAAAGAGAAAGAGCACAAUAAAGAACCAGAUUCAAGUGUGAGCAAAGAAGUAGAUGACAAGGAUGCACCAAGGACUGAGGAAAACAAAGUACAGCACAAUGGGAAUUGUCAGCUGAAUGAAGAAAACCUCUCUACCAAAACAGAAGCAGUAUAGGACCGACAAGUGUACCUCUGCACUCAAUGCUGGAAUCAAAUCCAAAGCUUUUAAUUCUCUCAACAAGAUGUAAACAGGAAGGAAAUCUAGUUGAGCAUGAAGAUAGGAUCUAACAGCUAUUCCAGUUGUUAGAUGACUUUGUGGCCAUCUUGUUAUUGAGUAAGAAAAUAAAGCAUGGACAUCAUGAAAAUAACAGAUGUUACCCAAACUCAUCUUCUAAAAUCUGUGCAUUUCCAUGGUGGCUGACACACUUGUCAUGUGGUCUGUUAGUGUUUGCCAAGAACCAUUGCAAAUAAAUUGAACAUCAAAGAUCCAAGUUUGUACUAUCCCUAAAGACUGGAGAUAAGCAUUGGAGGCUCUUUUAAAAAAUGCUAGUUACUGAAUUUUGUAUUGUUUUACUUUUUUUUUAAUUUCAAUAUAUACAGUUUGAUGAUGUGCUUGAAAUUGGUGCAAAUAUAUACACACCCUUGUAAGUGCAAAGUAUGUAAGAAGUUUUAACAUUUACUUCACAGGACUUAUGGUGAUUGUGUUAAAUUCUCACUAUUGUGUUUUCUUUUGCUCACUGUUUAGGACAACUUUUCUUUAAAAUAGUUUUGCAGAUUAAAAUUGCUUAAAUAAGUGGAUUAAAAAACUGACAAUGCAUGCUACUGUUCUCUUUCAAAAGGAAGAGCAACUGUGUUGAAUACUAAUAAUGAUGAAUUAGUAUUCAUUGUUUAGAAUCAUUGGGUCUACCCACAAAGUGAGCAUUUCUUUUUAAAUUUUCUUGACAUUUCCAAGCUUAUUACGAAUAAUAUUGCAGUGUGUCUUGUCAGCUGUAGGUGGCAAAGGUGCCCUUAUAAAAAAGGAAACUGGCUUUUCAAAAUGGGCUAUGGGAGCACAAGCUGAAGCUUUAGUGCCUUCUACAAUGUGGUAUACUGUUUUCUAGAAUUUUAUAUGUGCUAGUCAUUCUCAAUUCAUAUGGAAUCUAGAUGGAUAUUUCAUUUAUACCCAUAGAGAAGUGUGUAAGUGGUAUGUCAGAAGAGCUUCUUACUGAUUUCAUCUAAAAUAAGAAGGAAGUCCUGUUUUCAAGAAUGACAUUAGAGUCAUGCAGCUUUGGGACCAUCAGUUUUAUACUGUGAUAAUUGAAAAUGAAACAUGUUCUUAUUUUCCUUAAAUCGAAGAAAACCCUUUAGUUGUCUACAUUGGAUGGCCUUAUUACCUCUCAAUCAUCUUUUCAUAAAUGAUGUGCAGAAAUUGUACUUAAGGACUUAGGAAUAUAUGGGAGGUUAUUGGUUUUAUGUUUAAGGAUACGUUUACUUGAGUUUAAGAUACAGGUCAUCCAUCAUUCUUAGGCUCACUUUUUACAGAAAGUAUGCAAAUAGUAAAGUGACAACACUGCUAAUGUUUUUCCCCAGUACUAUAACUUGUGGUUUCUGAACUCAUUGUUGUUGUAUUUCCAAAAAAGUAAUACCUUUUAAUUAGUGUAUUAAAAAAUUAAGUAUAAUUAUUUUAAUGCAAUCUAAUACAAUCAGAUUACUGAGUUGCCUUACCUCAUGGGAAGAGUUACUUUUUUAGAUCUAAAAAGCUGAAUAGUAUGUUAGUUACUUGGUUUCAACUUGAGUUUUCUUUUAAUGUUAAUAAGAUUGAAACUUUAGUAUUUAGUGGGGAAUGGAAAGAGUUGCCCUUGUUGCAAGUAAUGAAGCCUGAUUUGAUUAUGAAGCUGCUUAAUCACUCUUCAUGUGUUCAGAAUUACUGUUUUUUUGUUUGUUUGUUUUUCCUUUUUGUCACUGUGUACAUUAAAAUUUUGGAAGAUGCUUUACUAUGUAAAGUAUAGAUGGUCAUUUUAAUCAUUCAGCCACAUACGGUUGGCUGGUAAACAGCUUAUUCUGAUACAAGAAUGCUUGGGUGCAUAUGGAAAGAUUGUGAAAGAGUGUGUCUUGCAUCAACAGCUGUCUUAUUUAUGAUAUAUAAGUAGAAAUAGAGCAAAUGUUGGAAUCUGUUAUUUUUAGUACCAUUUCUUUAAUAAAGCUAAGUAUUUU